GGACUACACGGGUUUCUAAUCCUGUUUGCUCCCCUUGCUCUCGUGCCUCAGUGUCAGGUUUAGGCUAGAAAACCGCUUUCGCCACAGGUGUUCCUCCACAUAUCUACGCAUUUCACCGCUACACGUGGAAUUCCGUUUUCUCCGCCAUCCCUCAAGAUUAGCAGUUUUGAGUGCAGCUCCGAGGUUGAGCCUCGAAAUUUCACACCCAACUUACUUACCCACCUACGCACCCUUUACGCCCAAUAAAUCCGAUUAAUGCUUGCACCCUCCGUAUUACCGCGGCUGCUGGCAC
rnacentral:rRNA from 1 species